rnacentral:rRNA from 1 species
AUUGAACGCUGGCGGCAUGCCUUACACAUGCAAGUCGAACGGCAGCACGGGUGCUUUCACCUGGUGGCGAGUGGCGAACGGGUGAGUAAUACAUCGGAACAUGUCCUGUAGUGGGGGAUAGCCCGGCGAAAGCCGGAUUAAUACCGCAUACGAUCUACGGAUGAAAGCGUGGGGCCUUCGGGCCUCGCGCUGUAGGGUUGGCCGAUGGCUGAUUAGCUAGUUGGUGGGGUAAAGGCCUACCAAGGCGACGAUCAGUAGCUGGUCUGAGAGGACGACCAGCGACACUGGGACUGAGACACGGCCAAGACUACUACGGGAGGCAGCAGUGUGGAAUUUUGGACAAUGGGCGAAAGCAUGAUACAGCAAUGCCGCGUGUGUGAAGAAGGCCUUCGGGUUGUAAAGAACUUUUGUCCGGAAAGAAAUCCUUGGCCCUAAUACGGUCGGGGGAUGACGGUACCGGAAGAAUAAGCACCGGCUAACUACGUG